CGANCUAAGCUGAAUAUUGGCGACUGGGCAUCAGCCUCGACGAUCCAUGCCGGCUAGCGUCUACCGGNCUUCUGGGUUGUAAACUGCUUUAUCAGGGAACAAAAAGGCCAUGCGUGGCAAACUGAGUGUUUCCUGAAGAAUAAGCACCGGCUAAUCCGUGCCAGCAGCCGCGGUAAUACGGAGGGUGCAAGCGUUGUCCGGAUUUAUUGGGUUUAAAAGGUGCGUAGGCGGCUUUUUAAGUCAGUGGUGAAAUCCUGCAGCUCAACUGUAGAACUCCCAUUGAUACUGGAGAGCUUGAGUACAGACGAGGUAGGCCGGAAUUUAUGGUGUAGGGGUGAAAGGCAUAGAUACCAUAAAGAACACCUAUAGCGAAGGCAGCUUACUAGACUGUAACUGACGCUGAGGCACGUUAAGCGUGGGGAGCGAACAGGAUUAGAUACCCUGGUAGCCACGCUGUAAACGAUGAUUACUCGAUGUGUGCGAUAUAAUGUACGCGUCCAAGCGAAAAGCGUUAAGUAAUCCACCUGGGGAGUACGCUCGCAAGAGUGAAACUCAAAGGAAUUUGACGGGGGUCCGCACAAGCGGUGUGAGCAUGUGGUUUAAUUCGAUGAUCGCGAGGAACCUUACCUGGGCUAGAAUGUGAGCGCAAUCCCCAGAGAUGGGGAGUUCUUCGGACGUGAAACAAGGUGCUGCAUGGCUGCGUCAGCUCGUGCCGUGAGGUGUUGGGUUAGUCCCGCAACGAGCGCAACCCCU
rnacentral:rRNA from 1 species